AAAAAAAAUUAAAAAAAUUUAUUUAUCAAUACAACUAUAAAAAAAAGACAACAACAUCCUGGAUUACUCAAAUUAAUUGAAUUGAUAUGAUGAAAAUGAAAGUAAACCUGAAGCUAAAAACUGGCAGUUUCUUUUCCAAGAUGGACACCUCACUACAUAUAAGAGAUCUGUUUUGAUUACUGGGUGCACUCUGAGGAACUAUAUACUUCCAAUGGUAUUGAUUAUAAUUUAUAUUUUACUUCUUUCUCCCCCCACCGCCCCGUCUAUCUGGAGCCCAUUUUAAAUAAUUUGCGGCUUUUUCCGAAACCUCCUGCUCUGUCACUCCAUAUUUCGUCAUGAUGACAUCUACAAAAUCAAAAGUUAGAACAUUGUCAAGUUUAAUUCUGUUCAACACAUUUAAUUAUUAUUAUUAUAACUUCAUGAAUAUGAUAAAUGUAUAUA
rnacentral:lncRNA from 1 species